GCUCACAUAUCAUUGGAUCCUUGUUAUAAAUAUAAGCAUAAUUCUCAGAGCCCAGAAAAUCACCUCUACUUUGAAGACCUUCUCAACUACUUGUCCUGCUGUAUCCUUUCAGCCAACAAAACAAAGGCAGGAUGAAAACUCAAUCAGCUGCUUCCUUCACGAGGCCUGUUGCAGCAGAAUUGGCCAUCGAAGAUGUGCCAAGAAUGAAGCUUUUAAAUUACUCCCAACAAGAGCACAGGGUCAGAAGUUCCUAGAAUUAUUUCCUACUUGAAUCAAAGGAGCACAGAAGUAGAACAAGGUUUGAUGUUCAAUCCAAAGUCAUUUUCAACCAGCAGCCACACACUGAUCGCCUUGGAGUACUAAGCAACUUUGACAGCUGGUGGACCAUUUAUGAUUUCAUCUUCAGAUUAUUACAAAGAAGAUGGAUUCAUUGCCAAUUUACAUAGAAGAAACUGAUGUCUAGGCAAGCAAAAAGAUAAUAAACUAUGAAGUGCUACACCUGAA